GGGGUAGUAUGGUUGCAAAGCUGAAACUUAAAGAAAUUGACGGAAUGGCACCACCAGGAGUGGAGCCUGCGGCUUAAUUUGACUCAACACGGGAAAACUCACCCGGCCCGGACACCGUAAGGAUUGACAGAUUGAAAGCUCUUUCUCGAUUUGGUGGUUGGUGGUGCAUGGCCGUUCUUAGUUGGUGGAGCGAUUUGUCUGGUUUAUUCCGAUAACGAGCGAGACUCUAGCCUGCUAAAUAGUGACUAGAUUAUUGAGUCUAGUCUACUUCUUAGAGGGAUAAGCGGUGUUUAGCCGCACGAGAUUGAGCGAUAACAGGUCUGUGAUGCCCUUAGAUGUCCGGGGCUGCACGCGCGCUACAAUGGAAGAAUCAGCUGGCCUAUCCAUUGCCGAAAGGUAUUGGUAAACCGUUGAAACUCUUCCGUGACCGGGAUAGGGAAUUGUAAUUAUUUCCCUUGAACGAGGAAUUCCUAGUAAGUGUGAGUCAUCAGCUCACGCUGAUUACGUCCCUGCCAUUUGUACACACCGCCCGUCGCUGUCCGGGACUGAGCUGUCUCGAGAGGACUGCGGACUACUGUAUUGAGGCCUUCGGGUCGCGAUAUGGCGGGAAACAGUUCAAUCGCAAUGGCUUGAACCGGGUAAAAGUCGUAACAAGGUAUCUGUAGGUGAACCUGCAGAUG
rnacentral:ncRNA from 1 species